rnacentral:rRNA from 1 species
CAAGUAGGUGGUCUCAUUUGUCUAGGGUGAAAUCCUUGAGCUUAACUCAAGAAGUGCCCUAGAAACGGUGGGACUAGAGUUCUGGAGAGGGUCGUGGAAUUCCCGGUGUAGCGGUGAAAUGCGUAGAGAUCGGGAGGAACACCAGAGGCGAAGGCGGCGACCUGGACAGACACUGACACUCAACUGCGAAAGCGUGGGGAAGCAAACA